rnacentral:lncRNA from 12 species
CACAGAUGCCGUGUCUUAAUGAGAAGAGUGUCUAAGAAUUUGUAGACAUGUUUUAAAAUCAUCACAGUAAGGGUAUGGAGCUUACUAGCUGUCUAAUUAAGUUCCGUAUUUACCUUCUUAGUAACAGAACACCCGUGUUGUUAGUCAACUUAUAUUUUUUAACCCUACAUUCCCCAGCCUUCCUUGGAGCUGGGGGUAUUCACUGAGAGGUAAGUAGAAGUCAUGGGAAGAGACCUUCUUGUAAGUUUUUUUUUUUUUUUAGGAUUUUAUUUAUUUAUUCACAGAGACACACACACACAGAGGCAGAGACAUAGGCAGAGGGAGAAGCAGGCUCCCCAUGGGGAGCCUGGUAUGGGACUCGAUCCCGGGACCCCGGGAUCACAACCUGAGCUGAAGGCAGACGCUCAAUCACUGAGCCACCCAGGUGCCACCUUUCUGGUGGAAAACAUGAAUGACCAGCUGUCUUCAGGACAUUGCUACCUACUGGUGUCUGGCCCUCCAAGCUCAUCAUCCUCUCUUGUUCUCUCAUUAUUAUGGAUGGCAUGCAUUUCAGAUUCCUCUUCAGCUUCCCUCACCCACAACAUGAAGUGGCUCACAAGGUAAGUUGAUUGCAUCUCAGAGUCAUCUUGUUUAACGCCAAGAUACUUCAAUCAUAUGGCUCUUGUCUAAUGAUGCUGUGGCUCCCUUAGUCACCUUCGAGAUAUGUCGUUCUCUGUGGACAUUCCUUGUCCGCUCAUUCCUCAGAAUCUGAAUCCCUACAGGACAACCCACCCAUUAGCCCCAUGCCCCUUAGCUUGGGUGUUGAGAAUCAUUUCCAUGCUUGAAAUGUGAAUUGCUCUGGCCACUCUAAAGGUCCUAAGGGAUUUCUGUAACAGGAAAGUAGGUCCCAUUUCUUCUUUGGGAAUAGAUACUGGUGUCAGCAGAUACACCACUCUUUGAAAAUUGAACUUGGCAAUUCCACAAAAGCACUUGGAUCCUCCCCAAUGCCAUGCUAGCAGGCCCUCCAAAGAGGCCUGCUUCUGACUGCCCUGAAGUAAUCUGUGAAGAAAGCCAGCUGCUCAGAGAAUCUAGGGCCAGUUUUUCAGGGGCCUGUGCCAGGUUAUGUUUCAGGCUCUGUGGGUGGGGGCUGCUUGGACGU